CUUCGGCAGUGUGUGUUCAGAGAGAAACGUCAACUUUAUCUCCUUCUCCACUGCAGUGCCUGAAUCCAAUUUCUCAGAAGAAUCUAUUUCUGCAUCAUAUCUGGACACCAUUCCAUUUGUGUUGCUCGUCACUGAUGGUUUACUGAGAUGCUUAAAGAUGCAACGCACACUGGAGACAAUGUACAAUAUGGUUCUGCUGGAGAGGAAACACUCUCCAUCUGCACUGCAGCUGGGUGGAACCCAUUAUGAUGUCAUCACUGUGGACGAGAACACCGCCAUCCUCAUCCAGGUGACGCUCUAUAUACACACUUGCUCUACCAUUCACAAAGUGACCCUGAACGUGUAAAUCCUGUGUGUCUGUGUUCAGGAGCUGAGUGAGUUGGACAUGAGGAUUGGAGUGGCGUCUGAGCGUGUCGUCAUGAGACUCACAGUCCUCUCUCUGCAGUUCAGCCACUGCUGGGUCAUUCUGCACUGCACUGAGAACCACAGGGCACUGUCAGUUUGAAAUAC
rnacentral:lncRNA from 1 species